rnacentral:rRNA from 1 species
CUGGUUGAUCCUGCCAGUAGUGAUAUGCUUGUUUCAAAGAUUAAGCCAUGCAUGUCUAAGUAUAAGCGAACUUAUACAGUGAAACUGCGGAUGGCUCAUUAAAACAGUUUGAAUUUAUUUGAUGAAUGUAUGAGAAUACUACUUGGAUAACCGUAGUAAUUCUAGAGCUAAUACAUGCAACGACGCCCGACCGUUUCACUACGGAAGGGCUGUAUUUAUUGGAUACCAAAACCAUCCUUCCCUCGGGAAGUUUUGUUUGAUGAUUCACAAUAACUGAUCGGAUCGCCACUGUGGUGGCGACAGGUCAUUCAACAUUCUGCCCUAUCAGCUUUCGAUGGUUGUGUAGUGGACAACCAUGGCCAUAACGGGUAACGGAGAAUCAGGGUUCGAUUCCGGAGAAGGAGCUUGAGAAUUGGCUACUACAUCUAAGGAAGGCAGCAGGCGCGCAAAUUACCCAAUCCCGAUUCGGGGAGGUAGUGACAAAAAAUAACAAUACCGGGCUUUUUUGGGCUUGGUAAUUGGAAUGAGGGAGAGUUAAACGGACCAUCGAGUAUCCAUUGGAGGGCAAGUCUGGUGCCAGCAGCUGCGGUAAUACCAGCUCCAAUAGCGUAUAUUAAAGUUGUUGCAGUUAAAAAGCUCGUAGUUGGACUUGUGUGCGCUGUCCGCGGGUGGCCUGCGCCCAAAAGGGCGUUUCGGUUCGGCCCCGGUGGCGCCUUGAAAUCUGCAGCUGGGGGGACGUUGGCCUUAACUGGUCGGCGACCGCACGCCGGCUGCUCGGUUACUGUGAGAAAAUUAGAGUGUUCAAGGCAGGCAUUGGGUGCAAUUGAAUACAUUAGCAUGGAAUAAUAAAACAUGGCUCCUGCCGUAUUUUGUUGGUUUUGACUGGUGGGAGUAAUGGUUGAUAGGGACGGUUGGGGGUGCUAGUAUUGAGCGGCCAGAGGUGAAAUUCAUGGAUUCGCUCAAGACUAACUUAUGCGAAAGCAUUCACCAAGGACGUCCUCUUUAAUCAAGAACGAAAGUUGGGGGAUCGAAGACGAUCAGAUACCGUCGUAGUCUCAACCAUAAACUAUGUCGACUUGGGAUCGGCGGUAGUUUUUUCAUUAAGACACUGUCGGGACCACGGGAGAAAUCAAAGUGUCUGGACUCUGGGGGAAGUAUGGUCGCAAGGCUGAAACUUGAAGGAAUUGACGGAAGGGCACCACCAGGAGUGGAGCCUGCGGCUUAAUUUGACACAACACGGGGAAACUUACCAGGUCCAGAGAUGUAGAGGAUUGACAGAUUGAAGCUCUUUCUUGAUCACUUCGGUGGUGGUGCAUGGCCGUUCUUAGUUGGUGGAGUGAUUUGUCUGGUUAAUUCCG